CUUUUACUCCUAUAGGCUAUAUGCAUACAAUUUUUUGAGAGAAUUAAUUUACUUACAAACAUUUAAAGAGCCAAAAUAACAGAAGCUAGUAUAGUCUUUUGACUUUGAAGAAAUGAACUCAACCAUAUCUCCCACCCAUAUGUACUCUCUUCUUUCUUUUAUGCAUUUCCCUACUGCAAACAUUCCACCGAGAAGAACUCUAAAAUGACCUUAAAAGUGCUUUAAUACAAAAUCACGAUACAUUACAUUUGCUUCAAUGCAUCAAUUCCCACCACGUCUAGAAACAUCUUAAUGAUAACUAUAUAUACCUGGCAUUACAAUUGCGUCGUGUCAAUAUUGUUUGAUAAGAUGUAUAAAAAUGAAAGCCGCAAAUGAUGGACAACUUGGCAAGUCAUUUACCUGUUGUUACCUCAUUUUUGA
rnacentral:lncRNA from 1 species